UGCCGAAACUUUCACCGCGCCUGUUUAAUACAUUUAUAUAUAUUAUAUAUAUAUACAUAUACCAAGAACUUCCAAACUACCACCCACCCCUGGGACCACUUAAUAGCCCAUCCUUACUCACACACUCGCACACUUCCUCUCCUUCGUAUGUACGUUUUUACCGAAAAGUAUAUAUUGUAUAUAUAUAUAUAUAUAUAUAUAGGUAUACACACAAUCCCUUCGGACGGAUCGCCCUCGUUCAGAUUCUUUUGCAAAACACAUAUACUUCCGAUGUGACCGGGAAAUAAAUCGGAUUUACACCGUCGCCGCUGCAGAUGUUCCUGAUACACUAUACGUCCUGUACACAUAAUACGUAAAAGGGCGUGUACGAGUGUGAUGAACUGUAAAUGGGAAAUCGUGGACGCCACUCGGAGAAUUCGUGUGCAUUAUUACUUACGUCAUUUUAAGGAUGGGUAAUGUCGAGGGGUGGUCGGAAACGCGACGUACCAGGAAAUUAAUCCGAUUCAAGAUUAUGAUAAUGAAAACAUCGUGGCACGACGGAUGUCACCGAACACACUUACACUGCGGGCACACGACAGACGUCAGUGGUGAUAACACCCCUCGCCAACCAAUCACCACUACUAUUCAAAAACGAUUUCACCCCAAGUGAAUAUACACAACAGCCGUGGUGAAGAUUUUUAUACAAAUACAUUAUGCGCGUUAUGACCACGAGUACUUU